rnacentral:rRNA from 1 species
AGGAUUAACGCUGGCGGCGUGCCUGACACAUGCAAGUCGAACGAGGCCGCAAGGCCGAGUGGCGGACGGGUGAGUAACACGUGACCAACCAACCUCGAAGUUGGGAAUAGCUCUGCGAAAGUAGGGGUAAUACCGAAUGUGGCCCAGGGCGGGCAUCCGCCUUGGUCUAAAGAUUCAUCGCUUCGAGACGGGGUCGCGGCCUAUUAGCUUGUUGGUGAGGUAACGGCUCACCAAGGCGAUGAUGGGUAGCUGGUCUGAGAGGACGACCAGCCACACUGGGACUGAGACACGGCCCAGACUCCUACGGGAGGCAGCAGUGAGGAAUUUUCCGCAAUGGGCGAAAGCCUGACGGAGCGACGCCGCGUGUGGGAAGAAGGCCUUCGGUCGUAAACCACUGUCGAAGGGGAAGAUAUUGACGGUACCCUUGGAGGAAGCCCCGGCUAACUACGUGCCAGCAGCCGC